rnacentral:lncRNA from 1 species
AGGGCCCUACUGAGAUUAAGUAAUAUAAUAAAAAUGCUAGCAAAAGUAUGAAAUAAGUAGAAAUAAUGGAAUACAAUUGUGAAUUAAGUAAUAUUACACAAACAACAAUCAACACAUCAAGGGUAAGAUAACACAGAGUAAGACAACUCAAUGUCAGCACCGAUUACGAGGAUCUCCCAGGAUACUGUCAUGUAGUCCAUUUCCAUGUCAACGCCAACAACGAGGAUCUCCCAGGAUACCGUCUUGUAGUCCAUUUCCAUGUCAAUACUAAUAACGAGGAUCUCUCUGGAUACCGUCCUGUAGUCUAUUUCCAUAUCAAUAGCAAUAACGAGGAUCUCCCAGGAUGCUGUCCUGUAGUCUAUUUCCAUGUCAAUACCAAUAACAAGGAUCUCCCAAGAUAUCGUCCUGUAGUCCAUAAUAUAAAUGUGCAGGGGGAUCUCCCGAGAGUCUAACGCGUAGUCCCAAAGUAAAUGUGUAGGGGGAUCUCCUGGGAAUCUAACCCGUAGUCCCAAAUAUAAA